UGAUUUGACAGUACUAAGUAUACUGUGAGGUCUAAGUCAUGACAUCAUUGCACGUAUGCAGCUUAUUAGUCUAGCCCUACUUUGUGACAAUAAUGUGUUUCUAGGGCAGGAUGUCAUAAUGAUAGGCAAAUGUCACCCACAAUUGUCUAGACACCGAGGCUUUUGAACUAAUGCCACAGCAUACAAGGUCCCAAAGCCAAUAACGUCAAAAGAUGUACUUUUGAGAAUGUGGACAUCUCCAGCAUCCCAGCAUCUAGACGGUAGUCCAGACAGAUGCUUCUUGGACACUGUCUUGGUACUGAGCAAGACCAGCUCUCUCUUCCUGACGAUCAGAGAAGCGACGGUAUUAUAUGUCUCCGUAUGAUGGACAGCCUUAUGGGCCUCAGCUCCCACAUGGACCUACCGCAGAGUGAGCGAUAUAGGCUCAAAGAACAGCAGGCAGAAGAUGGGACUCCAAGCAACCAGGUAUCUUGGCUGGCACAUGGCUUCUGUUGUGGUUCAAUCUGAAGAGUUGGAAUGGAGAAGGAGCCAUCCACCCUCAGCGGGACCCUUUCUUUGGGGGACCUCCAGUCAAAGCUUCCCUGCAACUGUGUCGGCUGCUGACUUGGGUUCAAGGCUGAGUAUUGCCUGGCAGGCUCGGCAAGCCUCACCCUGCUUCCAUCAACACCCUGGGGCUCCCAGCCCCUCGAGUGGAGAAGCUUCGUGUCUGCAGGACGUUGGAAGACGAGGCUGAUCCUGAUGGAUUGUGUUGAGCUCUCAGUGGAUGUGUGAAGGAGUUUAUCCACAAGUCCCUCUUGCUGUGAGCUCUUUUUACAGACACGCUACAGUAACGAGCAGAACUACUCUAUUUAAAUAUGCAUGGAUGUGGAAGAAGGCCAAUUCCUUGCUCAGACAUACCAGCCCUGGCCAAGAUCCAGAACUG
rnacentral:lncRNA from 1 species